UUUUUGGAACACCCUUUACAUUCCCUUGUUCAUUCAUCUUUACAGUUAAUAAGAAAAUAUUCAUUUUUUUCCAUUGAAAAACGGUCUUGUGUGCAAUAGGAAUAUCUGAGGCGAAAUUUUGCAUUGAAUAUUCAAUAUUCAGAAAUCGAAUUCUGUUUGGUUUCAUUUGAGCAUAAUACAUUGUAUAUACAUAUAUAUACAUACAUGAACCUGUAUUUCAUAUGCGGUAACUUACAAUAUUGUCACAUAUUUUUUGCAACGAAGAACUUUUGAGUUACCAGUAAGUAUAUUGUGUUUUCCAGGUGUUUAAGUUGAGAGAUAGAAAAAUAGUGUAUGUGUUGAUUGAUAGUUGAUAGGUGGUUGAUUGAUUGGUUGAUGAGAGUGUUUGGUUGAUAUCUUCUGUUAUGUAUAUGAAUGUGGUCGUUCCCAAUUAUAUAUUGUUUCGUAUGUUUGCCAUUCAAUUGUUACAUUUCUUCAAUUUUUUUCUUCUCUUCGGAUUCAGUAAACCUCGGGUGCAGGGUGGGGUCGAAAAUGAAAGUUAAGGCAGGAAAAGUUUACACGUGCUCCGACAAAUAUCAUUUAAAGUUAGGGAAAACUAUUAGCCUUCUUUUAAAAAUGCCGGUAUUAUUUUAUACGGAGGAGUGGGUAUUUUUGCUUUAAUUUCAAAGGACAUUCGAUCACUUUAUUUUCUUCAAACUCCUAAAGUGUGUUCCGUUUCUAUAUCUUAGAAUCCAAUGGAAUUCUAUAAACUAAAUUAUUAUGUAAUGUCACUUAUGUGAGUAUAUAUUUAGUAUACUUCAGUCAGUAUGGAAGGUGUUUCUUUAUAUAAUUUCCCUUUUUCUGCAAUCAAAUUUGACUCAAAGCCACAGUAUUUGAUAAAUAUAAGUAUUUUGAAUAUAGAUACUGAAUUUUUUUCUGGUUGAUUUUGUUUAGUUUUUUUUAAGUCAUUAUUUUGUUUAACCAAAGAUUUUUAUGCUUCUUGUAAGUGUUAAGAAAACCGCCAUUGUAUAAUUUUGGUGUGUGCAUUAAAUCUUCAGGAUUUGCAAGGAGCUUAUACAGUGCCAAUAAUAUGUAUUUGAAUGAAUGAAAUGAAUUCAUGUUGUAUUUUUAAAAAAAAAAUAAAUGAUUGUUUUAACAGAGGAUGGCAAGACUUUCAUUUUUGUUGUUGAAACAUAGAGAAUAUGAAUAAUGAAAGUUGUGACAACAAAUUGAUAUAUUGUAAUAUUGUACAUUAUGAAAAUGAAAAAUAAAUAAAAUACAGUU
rnacentral:sRNA from 1 species